AAUAAUUUCAAACUAAAUCCAAAAGGUUGUUCUCAGCUACUCAGUUUGAAGUCAACUUCUCUCCCACUCCAAAAGAAGAAAUGGAGCAAUGUAAGGAACACUUCCAGAAUCUUCAAGCCAGCAUUCAUGGACAAAGGCUCUCUUGGCCUCCCCACUACCUCUGUCGGACAGACGCGGCUGAGUGCCACACCAUGUGCAUGCCAGAUUCCUCCAGCCACCCCAAACCACAAAGAGGGAAGGACUGAAACUUCUCCAGAGCGUGUGCUAAGGCACCACUCCUCUGAUGACCUUCCUUAAUUAGUUGCUCCUGGAAUUUAUUUAUUUUUUUUAAACAAGCCAAUGGAAUCAAUGUUGUUCACAUAAUUGGAUUAAAGAACACUUCACUUCUGGGAAAUAGAAGUUUUAUGCUUUGGUUAGGCAAGGAAAAAGGAUGAGUUGGAUAUUGGAGAGAACUUGGGCAAUUAAUCACAGCCUCAGUUUACUACAGGUCACAGAAUAUUCAGUGAUUUUAACCAACCUCCCCUCACUCUAGCCUUCCUAAGCAGGGGCUGUUUUUUUUCCUAUGUGAUAAAAACAGAUUUUCCAAUACACUGAGGUUCUUGUAAGAAUUUAGGCAUUUUCUAUACCUUGAGAAGUUCUUUCAGUAAAUCAUACAGGCAGAAAAUCAAUCAAUACAAUAAGACUGAACAUGUUCCAACCCAGAGGCAAGAAUAGCCAUUCAAAGGCACAAGCCACUUCAGACAUCAUCGCAACCAUCUGAAAUGAUGUUGGCACAGUUAGUGGAGGAAGAAGUCACCAGCCACCAAGCUGCAUGCUGUAAAUCAGCAAGUGAGGUAGUUCAGAGAAGGGAACUGAACACAGGGUCUGUUACAGCAUGAACCUCUUUAGUUGUAGUAGCAGGCAUAUAGACAUAGAUGGCUACUAACCAAUUCAGCCAUUUCUAAUAGGCAUAUUGCCACACAAGCUAGGAACUGUGCCUUCAAAGAGUCUCUUAAAGGCUUUUCUCGCAUGGGAAGGUGAUGGUUCUGGAGUCUUGUGUACAUUGCUAGCAUGAAAACUCUCUCUGUAGCCCUUACUAAUUAUUUAACUUCACACUAGGCAGUUCUGGAGCAAGGAGGCAAUAUAAGGAAAGGUAUAGCUCUGAAACAUUAGCGUGAAAUGGACUCUGAUCCAUUGAAGCAAAGCCUUCAAAAAUAAAUUUGUUAUUUACAAC